rnacentral:rRNA from 1 species
CCUACGGGGGUCAGCAGUCGAGAAUCAUUCACAAUGGGGGAAACCCUGAUGGUGCGACGCCGCGUGGGGGAAUGAAGGUCUUCGGAUUGUAAACCCCUGUCAUGUGGGAGCAAAUUAAAAAGAUAGUACCACAAGAGGAAGAGACGGCUAACUCUGUGCCAGCAGCCGCGGUAAUACAGAGGUCUCAAGCGUUGUUCGGAAUCACUGGGCGUAAAGGGUGCGUAGGCUGUUUCGUAAGUCGUGUGUGAAAGGCGCGGGCUCAACCCGCGGACGGCACAUGAUACUGCGAGACUAGAGUAAUGGAGGGGGAACCGGAAUUCUCGGUGUAGCAGUGAAAUGCGUAGAUAUCGAGAGGAACACUCGUGGCGAAGGCGGGUUCCUGGACAUUAACUGACGCUGAGGCACGAAGGCCAGGGGAGCGAAAGGGAUUAGAUACCCGAGUAGUC